UACGUAGGGUGCGAGCGUUAAUCGGAAUUACUGGGCGUAAAGCGUGCGCAGGCGGUGAUGUAAGACCGAUGUGAAAUCCCCGGGCUCAACCUGGGAAUUGCAUUUGUGACUGCACGGCUAGAGUGUGUCAGAGGGGGGUAGAAUUCCACGUGUAGCAGUGAAAUGCGUAGAGAUGUGGAGGAAUACCGAUGGCGAAGGCAGCCCCCUGGGAUAACACUGACGCUCAUGCACGAAAGCGUGGGGAGCAAACAGG
rnacentral:rRNA from 1 species